UCUGGCUUUGGUGCCCGUGGCCCCGGUCCCCGCCACGGCCAACAGAGCCCGUGGCCAUCCAGUGAGCUGAUCCGUCUUCGGGGGCGGGAAUGAGGGCAUCGUUGCGAGCUGCACGUCUACGAACACAGCCACCAACCAGUGGUUCAUCCCGGCCGUGCGGGGCGACAUCCCUCCCGGUUGCGCCGCCUACGGCUUCGUGUGUGACGGCACCCGGCUGCUGGUCUUCGGGGGCAUGGUGGAGUACGGCAAGUACAGCAGCGACCUCUACGAGCUGCAGCCAGCCGCUGGGAGUGAAGAGACUCAAGGCCAAAUGACUCCUAAGAAACUGCCACCACCCUUGCCCCUCUCGGCCAACCACUUCUCGCUUGUGGCCAACAAUG